GGAGCUACAGUACUGUACUUAUACCACACGUCUAAAAGUCCGAACUCUAAAGAUAUCAGGAAGAGGAAGUUCAUUCCACCACCUCGCUAUCAGAACAGAGAACAGUACUGAUGAGAACCUUCCUUGUACCCUGAGAGAUGGUGGGAGCAGUGAAGCAGUGUGAGAAGAUCUGAGUGCAGUGUGAGGAGAGAGAAGAGCUUUGAGGUGCAGAACUGAAAUAUGCCCCGACACGUUUCUAGAGCCAGAGCCCAAAUGCCUGCAACAGGCAGAAUGAGAACUAAUACAGGAUUUGGUGGAAACAGACAUCACACAACAAGAACACAUUAUAAUCCAGGUGUUAGAGGAAACUUCCAUCACAACAAGAGGACAAAACCUAAUCCAGGUCAGAUUUUUAUUUUGAUUUCAUUUUGUCCAUAAAUCUCAGCAC